ensembl:lncRNA
ACGAGUCUUGGAUUAGGAUAGAGUAAAACUGGCUCAUAGUUAGCUUUAUUUUGUGUGUGUGUUUGCACUGCUCAUGCUUAACUGGAAGCAUGAAAAUGGUUUACCAAACUAGCACUGUUGCUUAAAUUCGGCCCUCAUCACUGAGAUUUCCCAUUUUAAAACUACAUGUAAGUUUCUUCUAAUUAUUGAAGCUAUUCAAGUUAAUAUCCGUCUCUUGCUAGGGCUGGUUCUGUUUCCUCAUUUUUGGGAUUAUACUGGCAUAAAGUUGGCUUGACCAUUGGACUUGCGAUAUUCGCGGAUAUUAAGCGACCGUCUCUAAAGUUACAUACUACAUCGGUAUACAUGUUUCUAACUUCGAUAGCACUUGAAGGGAAUGACUUACAGUCACACAACCAAAUGUGAAGUCCUUCAGUUAUAACCAAUAAGAAGGGACAGAGGCAGUGCGAUUGUCACGUUAUUUCUGUUUAUUUUUUAUUUAUAUUUAACCGUUUGUAGCUUAUGAUGUACAGUGGAGGAAAUAAGUAUUGGAUCAUCAACAUUUUUCUCAGUAAAUAUAUGUCCAAUGAGGUUAUUUACAUGAAAUGUAUACCAGACAUAGGUAUUAACAUUAUUAACAUUAAUGUCCAUAAAUAAAGUGGAAUGACACAGAUGUUCCUUCUUGAUGGCCUUUUUAUAGACCAUCAAGUAACCCAGCUGAUAUUAAUUUGCACAGAUACGAGGUAUAAUUACUUGUUCCUUCAUAGUCAGUUGGUUCCUGUCACGUCGCGAGACGUAAGGGAGUAGAGUACGCUAGCAGGUGCAGGUAAGGACGUAUUUAUUUUAGGGCGGGCAGACAAAUUCAAAUCGUAAACCAAAAAAACGUAGUCGAGACAGGUAAAGGGUCGGGAAAUCGGCAAACAGGCAUAAACGGGGCAAGGCAGGAAUCAAAGUCGCGGUCACAGAAAACACUUUGUGUCAAAAACACAAAACAAGAAACAUGAACUAGUACUAUAAACUGGGAGCGGAAAAACCAGCGCGGACUAAUGAACUAAUCUAAAGUGUAAACUAACUAAAUCUAUCAAGGUAACUUAAACAACGUAUCUAACUAUAAUACUCCGCCCCGUGUACUGGGAGGCGCGCGUAUAUAUAGCAGUUAUAAUCAGCGUUGAGUGGUGACAGCUGGAAACACUGAAGACACACCCUCGAACCACAACCAAUGACAGAACAGGGAGGAGACAGAACAGAAACAAAACAAAGGCACGUGUCCACAGUAAACAAUGUCACCGUUGUCAACAAUUCGAAGAGCAUGCGCUCGCUGAGCACUCGUGCACGUAGCUCGUGCAUGCGCGCGCCCUCUCAUCUCUCCGAGCGUCCUGCCAGAAGGGGAGAUCGUGACAGUUCCUUGCCUUGGAGAAAUGCUUUUCCUUAGUGUGUUCAAUACUUUUUUCCCCGUGUCAUUCCUGUUAUUACACAUAACUUUAUUUAUGACUUUGUCGUGAAUUCUUUUUAAUGUUGUGAAUUCAUUUCUUGAGUAAAUACUGAUGUCUGGUGAAAAUAUUCACGUGAAUAGCAUCAUUGGAAAUAUAUUUACUGAACAAAAAGUUGAUGCGUCCAAUACUUAUUUCCCCCCGCUGUAUCAGGAUCUUCAUUUGAGUAGUCAGGAUGUAGUUCUCUGCCUCCGCCUCUUAAACAGCCUGCUGGUGUUGCUCCUCAGUUUCUGCCAGGGAGUCUGAAAGUACAACAAUUAAGGCUUGUAUAUGUCUGUAGAAGGACAAAAUGUCCCCAAUAAUUUGUAAGCACACAGACACACACACAGUUCACAAUAGCAGUCAUGGUUUCAUGAAAAGGAAGUUUACCUUCAAUAAUUCCUCUUUUUCCAUCAGAGUCUCCAUCAUCUCAUUGUUCUUCAUCUCAAGCUCCUAAAAUACAGACGAAGAAAAUGUCCCUGAAAUUUUCGCCACCUGGUUGGUCAGGUUCGCCUUCUCCAUCUGGUGUUUCUCCUCAAGUUUCGCCAUGGAACUCUACAUGUACAACAAUUAAGAGCAGUUCCUCCAGCUCCCUCACUCUCUCCUGCAGCUGAAAAUUGGACACCGCAAGCUUCUGCAUCUUCUCCUCAGAAUGACUCACAGAAUCCUGAAAUGCACCGGGCGUAUAUUGUUGCCUUGAGGUGUUUGUAGCACUUCUGAGCAGUCGCAUUCAGUCCAAACAUCAUGUUUAGUUGCAGCUUUCUAAUCUAUCUAAAGGGUCAUACAGCCUACAGUACAAUAUCUGACGCAGAAUCCUUAAAUUCAUCAGACCUCCGAUUUAAAAAAAAAAAAAAUAUGUUUUCUUGAUAAAACCUGCAAUUAAUGAACAUCAGGUCUGGCUUGCUGUCCUAAGCUUAGUGCUGGAGUACAAACGGCGUUUCCUCAUCCAUAAGUGCUAAACAUUUCAAUCCAGAUGUUUAAAAUGUUCCUAUAAUGGAAAACUGGAUUUUUGUCAAAGUUGGAGCAGAAGAACCUUACCGUGACCUGGUCCUGAGGAACCUCUGCGGGUUGGACCAGAGCCGGUUCUGCGGCCUGGACAAGCACUAAAUAAAAAAAAUAUAACGUCGUCAGACAUCAUCAUCAUCAUCUAUUAUUUAUGUUUUGAAGUCCAGACCAGCAGGAUUUUCCACGUCUGAUCCUGGUGAAGCUCUACAGCACAGCAAGUAUUCCAGCUUUCUCACUGGCCUCGGUAAUAAACACACUUCACCGAUGUUCAGUAUGGACAUGUCUAAUGUGUGCCAAGGCUAAGAACACACUGACAGAUUUUAUUACACAUUCAUGAAGAUCGAUGGGACUAAACCGUCUUAGCUUAUGAAGGACUGAACAGAUCUACUCAGUUCAUUUCUUUUAAAGGACAGAAGUAAACUUCACGACUGAGAAACAGUUGUACCUUCAGGUGUGUCCGCGGGUUCCACUGUCGUUUCCUCUCCAGCGUUAAGCGCGUUCAGAACUUCUACAG